rnacentral:tRNA from 1 species
GCGGGCGUGGUAUAAUGGUAGCACGAAAGCUUCCCAAGCUUUAGACGAGGGUUCGAUUCCCUUCGCCCGCACCA